CACAAUUACUCAACCGGACAUCGCCUUUCCAGUUAGUGUGGUAAAUCAGUUUCUGUCUUCCCCUCGUACAUCUCAUUGGGAUGCGAUUAUUCGAAUUUUGAGAUACUUGAAGAAACCUCUAGAGAAAGGAAUUGUCUACCAAAACCAUGGCCAUAGUAGAGUUAAGGGUUUCUUUGACGCUGAUUGGGCAGGAUCUCUAGAUGAUAGGAGAUCAACUACUCGCUCUUGUACCUUGGUUGGAGGAAAUCUGGUAUCAUGGAAGAGUAAGAAACAGAGUUUUGUUGCCCGCUCUAAUGCUGAGUCCGAAUGUAGAGCCAUGGCACAAGUGAUAUGUGAAUUAAUGUGGAUACAUGAGCUCUUGAUUGAGUUAGGUUUUAAAGCUUCAAAUCCUAUGUCUCUAUGGUGUGAUAAUAAAGCAGUAAUACAUAUAGCUUACAAUCAUGUGUUUCAUGAGAGAACAAAACACAUUGAGGUUGAUUGUCAUUUUAUUUGAGAGAAGCUCCAGAGUGGAAUGAUUUUUCCUAGUUAUAUUAGGAUCAGUGAAUAAGUUGUAGACAUCUUUACUAAACCUUUGGAUAAUGGGAGGAUGGAAUAUAUUUCUAAUAAGUUGAGCAUGAUUAAUAUUUAUGCCCCAGCUUGAGGGGGAGUGUUAGAGGUAUAAAAGGGUAAAAUAGUCUUUGGAGCUUUAAGGCUUAUUUUGUAUUUAUAGAUUGUCGUUUAUUGCAUAAUAAGAGAUACAAUAUUCCUUUCUACAAGCUGCAAGAUAUUCAUUAAGGAAAAAGAAAAAAGUAAAAGUCAAUUCAGGGGGCAGUAAUCUUCAUGGCCUUUCUCCUGUUUGAAUGGUAUGAUUAGAGUCUGGGUGAAUGAUGAUAUACUAAAGCUUUCUGCAGUGAAGUAUAGAAUUUAGUAUUUAUCUCCAUCUUGGUUGGCAGUAAGUGGGUUUUUCACUGUACUAGUUUCUGAACAAUAUGGGUUUUGACUUCAUUUAAGUGUGGCUGGUUCUUACACAGCAACAUCACCAUUGCUAUUGCAUAAGUUCUCCUUACAUUAUGAUUUAUUCCUUCUAAUGUUAAUGUUAGUGAUUAUGUAUAUGUCGGGAAAAUUGUGUAACAGAGUUUUUGAGGCUUUUGCAAUACACCAUAUAGUCACUUCAUGGGAUUAAUCAAGCUGUUAUUGAUGACAGAUUUAUUUUUGCUCUCUACUAGUGUUUAAAACUCAGUCUAGAUUGACUAGUUCUACUGAGAACUCUUUCUAUGUCCGAUCUGGUUUACCUAUAGGAGCAUAAGAGGUACUAAGCCAGUCAUGAAUUGGCCAAUUCAGUUUGACUUGGUUGGGUAGAUUCUUAAGUCAUUCUUUACUCUCCAAAUUUGGAUACAAAUAUAAAGAGACUGUACACAUUAAUUGUUUUGUUUAACAUCGUUAUUCCUACAUAAUGAUAGAGUAGAAAAUCAUAAUAAAUUCAUUGAGUAACCAACUAUAAGUUAGAUAAGUGCAUUUCACUUUCUAUUUGUUUGAAAAAAAUCAAAUUAUAAACUUUAGUUUCUACUUUUAAUAAUUUCUUCGAUCUUUAUUCUUUUCGGUAAUGCUACUGUUUGGAACUUAGACUUCUGGCCUCAUUUGAAUGGGAGGCAGACAUCAAGUGGGUUCUUUUGAUCUGUUUCCUUUUAAAACACUCCUGGCAGCCAAAAAGUAAGAUCACAUAAAUUGAUCUAGGGUAUCUUUUGAUAUAGCAGAAAUUUUCUUGAUGUCUUGAAAACUCUUGUGAUGGAGUAUAUUGUAGUAGAAGCUCACCUUGUAAGUAUACUGGUUGUGGACAUGAGAAUCACACACUUGAUCAAUGCUUAGAUCUGAUUUUAGGUCUCCAUACUUGAAAGAAAUUAUCUUAUAACUAACAUGAUAUGUCACCGGAGGGUAGUAAUGAGGCCUGACUUAUUUAAAAUUCACUAUGUGCCAAUGUAAUGGUUUUACUUCUUUGAAAAUAAGAAAGUCAAGACAAUCUUUCAAUUUCUUUCGAAAUGUCGCUGCUUGACAUGCAUCUUUUGACGCUGCAUCUCUUGUUCAAUUGUGCAAAUCUUUGCUUGAUUACUGGUGAUGGACGACUCGUGAUCACAAGCAAGUCAUGUAAUGUUUUAGCGCACAUUCAGCUCUCAUUCAGCUGUUUGGGCACGGCUGUUGGUUGUGGUUUUGGGUGAAUUCUUCCAUUCUGAUACUUGCCAUUAGGAAGUAUAGGUUGCUUAUUAUCCUCUUUCUCUGGUGAAAUCGUAAUUACGCGAUCUGAUGAGGGUGGGGAGUGGCCGUUGGGACUAGAAGGCUUGGACAAGGUAUGGCUCCCAGUAGCAAGCUUGUUAGGAUGGUGCAGAGGGCUAGUCUUCAGGCGAGAACACUAUCAGUAUGGAUUCCCUGUUAGAAAAUGCUUAUUUGGGUUGCACUUACACCCAAAGGACGUGAGUGUGAGGUUCAUCAUUGGAUGAGCCAGACAGACCAUAUCUAGGGUGAGGUUAGGCCAAGGUCUCAGAAUAAUCUCCGUUGCUUAUACAGUUCUAGGUUCACAUUUUGAUCAUUCUUAAUGAAGUUCUCCUUCUAUUGAUUGGUUAAAUUAGUGCAUUUUGAUUAUAUAUCAUCUGUCUAUUAUAGAUUGCUUGUUAUGGCAAUGGGGAAAGCAUUAUCUUGUUCUUUUGCUUUGUGGCUAGUAAACUAAGUUUUUUCUUUUUAGGUUAACUCAUUUAGAUUUUCUGGUCCAAGUCAUCUCACUUUUGAGAUGGAAAUUCAUUAUAGUGUCACUGUCACUUUUAUGGGUGACUAUUUAAUAGCAAUGUGGCUCUAUUAUGAAGAGAUCACACUGAGUUGCUUUUUAUGUUUAAUUCUUCUUUUUAAUUUCAAUUUAAUGUAUCUGUUUGCAUAAUGUACCAUGAGAAUAGGAAAGAAUCUCCUUAUUAUUAUUAUUAUUAUUUUUUUUUAUGACUGAUUAAGGGUGAUUCAUCAGUCUUGCUCCAGCUCUUCUGAUUAAUAAAUGGAAGAACAGACAUCCAGUCAAUGAUGUUACAGCUUAUUGGUUUAUCUAAGGGUACUGAAUUCUCAGAAGCUAUACAAUUCUUGCCAGUGACUAUGCUCUAAGCUAUGUUCUUCUGCUUCCUUGCAUGUCUGAUGCUGUGGUAUUUGUCUAUCAGCAUAAUCCCUGACAAAAUCGAUUCCUGGUCUAUUUAACCGUGUACUUUUCAUGUAAUUUACGUCUUUAAAGAGGCAUAAUUCUUCCCUUCUAUGUCUUUACCUGAGCAUCAGCUAUUCAUAUGUUAAAUUCUUUAAGUUUACAUGAUACUAUUCCAUGUCCUAUGUCACAACAGAUCUUACCAAUUGUCUUUUGUGGUAUUCUCCUUUUCCCUAGUCUAUAUCUGAGCCACGCUUGUCCCAAGCAGAAUUUGUAUUUGAAAGUCCAAGUGCCUCGCCACUCGAUGCAUGGCCUUUUGGAUUUAGUACAUCGGAAUUCUGAUCUCUUUGCUAUGCUGUGAAAAGGCCAGAGAAAAUAAAUGGACACAUCGCAAAGGAAUAGGGUUUGAAUGCUCAUUCCCUUUUGGCACCAAUCCCUCCUACCAAAUUUUCCCAUACGCAAAUUAGACUGAAAGAAUGUGUGAAAUCAGGAGGAAGUCUUGCGUGACAACCUUUUGAAAGGGUUGCUUUGGUGGCAAUUGGAGUCAAUUCAUGUUUUGAAAAGUCCUUCAAGGGGUUGGGGUAGUUGUGAAGAGCUUGGCUCGGAACAUUUAUUGCGGUCAUAGUGGACCCUGAUAAAUCCUGAUGUGGAGUGAACCACUCAAUUCUCAGUUGAUAGGUGGAUUGAACCACUUGAUACUAUUGGUAGAAUUGGUGGAUGACUACUAACAUUGUACUGGGGUCAUUAAAGAAAGAAAGCAAAAACUGAACUUUAUCGAAUUGAAAUCUCUGGUACAUUGGUUGAUUAUGUACUUGCUUACAUUUUACUAA